CACGUAGGGACCAAGCGUUGUCCGGAUUCAUUGGGCGUAAAGAGCUCGUAGGCGGUUCGAUAAGUCGGGUGUGAAACCUCCAGGCUCAACCUGGAGACGCCACCCGAUACUGUCGUGACUAGAGUCCAGUAGGGGAGCGUGGAAUUCCUGGUGUAGCGGUGAAAUGCGCAGAUAUCAGGAGGAACACCGGUGGCGAAGGCGGUUCUCUGGGCAUUACCUGACGCUGAGGAGCGAAAGUGUGGGGAGCGAACAGG
rnacentral:rRNA from 1 species